ensembl:rRNA 5S_rRNA 5S ribosomal RNA
UUCUAUUACACCACCCUGAACACGCCUUAUCUAUGUCUGAUCUCCAAAACUAAGCAGCAUCAGCCCUGGUUAGUACUUGGGUGGAAGACCACCUGGGAAUACCGAGUGCUAUAGGCU